CGUGAACAUCGAAUUGCCUUUGUUUCCCACCUUCCGGUCGUUCAAGUGAUCAAUUUUUGACCAGCCUCGUCCGGUGUCGUUAAACGCCCUAUCGGCAGAUUCAAACCCCACAAGAAAUCGUGGAUUUACCUACUGGCCUGCGUUGGUUAUGUUACUCAGAGUCGGCAAGUAUUAAAAAAAAGCAUCGGAAGAAAUCCGAGAAAUACGAGUUAAAAAGUGGUUGCUCGUUGAAAAUCUGCCGGUCUAAAACGGAAGUAUGAUACACGAGCGUGCUCCUCGUGUAUACGAUUGAAGAAAUGACACAUAACUUCCAACCGCCGCGUACAAUUAAAUGGCGGGCUUCUCGAACGAAGCCGUCGCCUCGCGACAUUCUAAAAAAUCGCUUAAAUAGAGAUCGCUUAGGAUCAUCAAUGGUAUUUGUAAGUUCUUUGAAAAAUGAAUUUAUCGAUCGACACUUAUACUUUUUGAAUUGGAGACGUCGGCUGCUAUAUAUCCAAAUCAAUAUGAACGUAAGAUAUUGAUAUGGGUGUACAAAUUACUUUGUACUGAAACCGUGGUAUUGGCUGAUUGCUUAUUUUCUUCUCAUUUUUUCUACUUUUUUUUUCUAUUUUUUUUAAAAAUAUUUUUUUCUGUUUUAACACUCGCCGUCUAUCUUGUGACAAAUUUUCAAGAGCGAAAAAUUAGCAUUUGAGGAGAGUAAAACAUUAAUGAUUCUUUUCUUCUUUUUUUUUCUACGAAUAAAUUAAUUUCUCUUAGAAAAAUGAUAUGUUACAAGAUGGUACGGCGAGUUAGCGGGGUGGACACGAAUGCUGUAUUUAAGCUCAGCGUAUUUAUAAUACUUCUACUCAAUAGAAACUUGGUAGCUCACUUUUAACAAUAGUGCAUGUUGCUUCGACUUGGGCUACAAGUUUCUUAAUGUAAAAAAAUUAAUUACAGAAAAGUAAGAAUGCUAAUUGAUCUAUUUUUUAUGUACUUUACGCGAGUUACAUGAUCGAAUGUCUAUUUUCUUUUUUUGAGAUCAUGAUACAAAGUAAAUCAGGAUUAAACCAGUUUUAUUAACAGAUGAAACUUGUGGUCGAUUUUGCACGUACGUGUAGUUAAUAUAUAAUGAUAAAUAUAUUUCUUCCUUCAAAAAAACAGUAGCAUAUUGUUUAUUUCCGUUUAAUUGGAAAAGAAAACAUAAAGUAUAGCGUAUAUACGUAUACAUACGUACACUUACGUACAAGAUACUCGUUGAGCAAUUUUUUAACUCGUUCCAAAGUCAAUAUUAAUAUUGCAAUUAAAGUGUUGCAAAUGAUAAAAGAAGAAAAUGAACAUAGAACAUGGUUCAUCGAUUCGAAGAAAAUAGAAUGAAAAGCGAUGAAACGUGUUUUACAAAAUUUCGUCUCUGAUUUAUUCAAACUGUAUGACGUAGGGAGAGAAAUUUUGAAAGAAAUUACGUUCGUCCGCAUAUUUAAUCGAUUUUAAUGUGCAAGUAUAUACAUGUAUACGUAGCUUUGAUCAUUUUUCACGUAUUUGUAUUUUAGUUUGCAUGCUUGGAAUGUGUUUGCUAGAGAAACACAGGGACGUGCGAGUUUCUUUAUCGUGAUUAAUAAUUUAUCAGUGUUAUCUUUUUCAUCGAGCAACGACCGAGAGAAGUCGGUUGAAAAAUGACGGAUUUAAGAUUUAUUUAAAAAAGUAGCUCGCACGUCAUGUUUAAAAUAACUGCAUGUUUAUGAUAUGUUGUUAUUAUAGAUUUUUCCAUAAUUCUAUCUUUUUUACGUUUGUUCGACGCUCGUUGCCUUCUCAAAUUGUCAAAUCAUUCGAUCUUUCUCUCAACAAUUGUAUUAUUUACAUUUAAAUUAAUCAUUACAGAUUGACUUUGAAUCUUGACGUUGAGAAGGAAUCGAGCGAAUUGUUUUAGUCGUUUUUUGAUCGUCGUGCAGCUGAACAAUCUCGUGUAAAGGUCUUAGACUCGAUACAGAGACGUUCCUAUAUAUUCCUGUCGUGAACGAACCAUCGAAUUCAUUAACAUCAUGAAAUUGAAAGAUUUCAAGAAUCGUUGGAAAAAUUGGUUCGAUUGAAUCACUAUUUGAUACCUUCAAACGAUACAAGGAAAAAGACGAAAAUGGUCAUAGGAAUCUCUCGAGCAUUUUUGAACUGCAUGUGCAUGUUUGGCAGAGUAUAUCAUGUAUACUGUUAAUAGUGAGCUUAAAAUAUGAGAUACAAAGUAUUCAAUGAUAUUAAUCGAGAGGUAUCAAGAAUACAAAAGUGUCUCUACUUUCUGAAACCCAGCGGCCUGGAUAUGUUCGAGGAACGACAAUCAUUAAACAGGGAAAUGUGAUUUUUGGUUUAAAUAUUUUAAUAUAUCAAUGGGAAUUUAGUCAAUUAAUUAUGGAUCAAUUUUAAUCAUUUGAAUUUUUUCUAAUAGAGUAGAAUAAAAUGAUUGCUAUUAAAGUAAAAUGAGAAAACAGAAAGCAUCGCGAAGCGCCGACUUCUGCUUUAGAAAGAUAAUAUUUUCUUUUACUGGAGAUACACCUGUGAAAUAUUUUAAUGUUUUUAGAGUACUUGUUCAUUAAUUUUCAUUUAUAAAAGAAGCUCGAUAUUGGGUACGCAGUGACUUAUCUUUAAUGGAAACAUUUGGUGGUAGUCUUUAAGCAUAAAGAAGCUUUUCAUAUUUGGAAUAUCAGAUUGUCGAUCACAUCCCUUGGUCGCUGGGUUGCUCGAGGUACGAAGACUGUUCCACCGAAGCAUUGUCGAUGAAUGAAAAUCGUCUAGCAAUCCUAGAUGGGCCGCAAAACAAUGAAAAGAAAGAAACAAGAACAGGGGCGUGAUUAGCCCAGUUUCUUGCGCGAGAAAAAAAAAAAGAUCAUUCAGCAAAUUAGGUCGAACAUGCUCAUUGGGACAAAAUUAGGUUUCGAAGAUAAGACAAAAGAGAGAAAGAUGAGAGGAAUGCGUGCGUGUACGAGAGAAAGGAAGGGAGGAAAAAAAAAAAGAAAAAGAGUCGAAGGAAAAAAAAAAGAGGGAGGCAGAGACAGAGAGUCGGGGGAAAAAAGAAAGAAAAUUAGGAGAAAGAACGUAAUGAGAGAAAGAAGCAGAGAAUACAUUGUUGAAAAACUUACCCAGUAAACUCGUACUAGCAUAUAAAUAUUAUUGAUCAAUUGUUAUUGGAUUCGAUGAUUGUUUGCACCGUGGCACUGACACAUGAAUUUAUUAUUCCAUUGAAUACUGAUCCGAUCAAUGAGGAUCCACGAGCCUCGACAUUCAACACCGUUUCCAGCAAACCGGAAACGGUAUCAUCCUACACUUCUGUACGAGAUGAUAAAGAGUAAUAUAACGUAAUUCGAGAAGAGUGCUCGUUUCCACGCGUUGGACCAGUAUUCAAUUAUCAUGGACAAUUUGGUGUGGGCUGACGUCUAUGUUAGAGUACAACAUGUCCAUCCACUGUCGCUGAGCUUGAGCUAUUUAUCAUACGCGAGGCUAAAUCUAUUUUAACGUUAAAUUCACUGAAUUGGCUAGACAACUUAUUGAACUAUGUGUAUAAUAAAAAAAAAAAAAAAAAAAAAGAAGAAAGAAAGAAUGAAACACACAGCUUGCUUCAUCCUUCCUUGCAGUUGGUUAGCGUGAAUGCAAUUUGCGUAUAUUAAAUAGCAAUGGCACAGGGCGCAAUUUAGUCUCUACUUAAAAAAAAAAAAAAAGAAAAAAAAAGGAAAUUGGGCGUUCUCGCGAUUGCUAGCGAAGGAAUGAGCAAUUUAAUCAUAUUAUACGACAAAGUUUGCUCGUGGCAAGUGUAUUAUUAAGCGAGCAGCGCCCAAUUAAUAAUAUAUAUAUAUUACGCAAUUACAAAGAACUUUUAAUCAUGUUUGACCUUUAUUUAUGGAUAUUUGCAGAAAUUUGUGGUUUGCUGAAUCUUGUCACAACUUUUUUUGAAUGUGUGGAACUUGUUAUAUGUAUACAUAUAUACACGUAUGUAUACACAUAUAUUGUACCAUGAACGUGUAUACGUACAUAUGUAUAUGUAUACUUCUCUUUUUUUUUCAUCGUACCACUGUACUCAUUGUAUAAAUUACACAUUCACCGCCCGAUACGAUUGAAUAAUUUCUCUUCGGUUAAUCGAAACGAAAAAUCGUAAUUGAAUUGGAACAUUAAGUCUUACUUAAUCGAAUUUUAAUUAACUGGGCUUGUUUUUUUUUUUUUUAA